rnacentral:sRNA from 1 species
GCUGGGCAGACCUUGCUGGCCCCGGCCUCCACGUGCAGUGACUGUUCUCAUGGCAGCGUCUCAGGCUGUCUGGACCAGCUGUCACAGUCUCACUGUGGGUGAGUCACCUGAGGCACUGUAUGGUGGAUAAAAGGAUUCAUUGCCCUGGGAGGUUUUGCCUGGCAUUCUGCAGAAGCAUUGCUGUAUCUUACCAGACAGGAAUACAGAUGAAGACGCCCAGGCACAGGGAAUUUGAUCACUGGCUGAGAACUCACAGCUAACAAGGGGAGCCUGGGGUUCCUUCCUGGGUGCUCAGACCCGAGACUCUUUUGUUUGUCACCGUGUUCAAAGGCAGUGCUGCACAGACGUGAUUCUUCUUUCAACGAACAUCUCCAGGACUUCCUCCAGGGUCUGUGACCUCAUCUGUAAUUAAAGGGAAAGAGAUCUUCCUGAGAUUAGCCCAUUUAACUUGUUUAACUAGAUGCAUGCUGCAAAAACUGUUUUCAAGAAAUGAACAAUUGACUGUUUAAAAAGAGCCAAGCCUUAAAAGAACACCAGGUUUUAAUAGGGAAAACAUUCAGUAAAAUAUUAUUCUGCAGUAACUUGUGGAAUGGCUGCUAUACACACAGCUCUGGGCUGGGUACCGGGAAGCUCACGAGCUUGUUUGGCCUCCCCUCCUGGACACAGAAGGUGUCAAGGCUGUAGUCCGCAGAAUCUCCCCAGCUGGACACUGAGUGGACGCCCUGUGGGGCGGCUGUGAUGUGGGUCCACUUUGUAGUGGCAGCGUCCGUGAUAGUACUUCUGAAAGGGACAAGAUAGAAAAGCAAACCAAAUUGAAACUGAGAAGUCGUGGAUGAAUACCAAGGGCGCACAGUGGCUGACAGGAAGAGACUGCCUGGAGGGUCUCGGAGCCAGUGGCUGGAGUCGAGUUAGUUUAACUGAGUCCUGGACUAGGGAGGGUACCCCCAAAGCAUGCCCAGCACAGCGCUAGUGGGACACCCCAUGUCCCAACAGCCAGAACCAAUAAUCAGGUUAACACUCAUUAAAUAAGAAGUGUCUGUGCCCCCUGGGAUAAAAAUCCUUUAUAAUGAUCUGGGACGCCAACUCAAGUCCGUGUUCCCUUGUCCUCCGCAGCGGUGUGCAGCGUGGAACUUGGCAGUUUGGGGUCCCUGAGUCCCUGAGCCACUGUCUACCCACUGCUCCAUCCCAAAUUGCAGGGACCCCUGAGCACUCAUGUGGACAUGCCCCACCAAGCCCUGGCUGCUCCUUCACCAUGGCGCAGGGCCACCGCUAUGGGAGGACUCUAAAGGGUGGAUCUCAGGCCCUCCCCCGCUUACCCUAAAUCAGGAGAGCAAACCGAAUGCACUGCCCUCUUCCUUCACUCCUGUGUCCCAUCCCCCGCUGUGGCCUCACUGUCAGGUCUGCUGUGUGCCAAAAUAUUUUACCAUGCCCUAAAAGUGAGAUGUUGGAAGUGGACAAGGAGGAAAUAUUUAUGAAUAUUUGAGUCUGUUAUUCUUCAUGUGAAGCCAUUUUGGCUUCUGUUGUACUCCUAAAUCGCUACCGAGAGCAGAGAAAGAGCUCUUUGUAGAAAUGAGAUGCUGCCUGUGAUGCAUCCUGUUGUCACCGGAGCACUGUGGCCCUAAGGAAUGACAGCAUUAAGGCAUGGACCUUAAAGAUAGACAAAAGCAUUGUUCACAGUGUUGUCUUUUAAAAUGACGAUGUGUACAACAAUUAAACUAUUGUGUCUUCAUUGA